GAUGAACGCUGGCGGCGUGCCUAAUACAUGCAAGUCGAGCGAACAGACGAGGAGCUUGCUCCUCUGACGUUAGCGGCGGACGGGUGAGUAACACGUGGAUAACCUACCUAUAAGACUGGGAUAACUUCGGGGAACCACAGCCAAUACCGGCUAAUAUAUUGAACCGCAUGGUUCAAUAGUGCAAGACGGCUUUGCUGUCUCUUAUAGAUGGAUCCGCGCCGCAUUAGCUAGUUGGUAAGGUAACGGCUUACCAAGGCAACGAUGCGUAGCCGACCUGAGAGGAUGAUCGGCCACACUGGAACUGAGACACGGUCCAGACUCCUACGGGAGGCAGCAGUAGGGAAUCUUCCGCAAUGGGCGAAAGCCUGACGCAGCAACGCCGCGUGAGUGAUGAAGGUCUUCGGGUCGUAAAGCUCUGUUAUUAGGGAAGAACAAAUGUGUAAGUAACUAUGCACGUCUUGACGGUACCUAAUCAGAAAGCCACGGCUAACUACGUG
rnacentral:rRNA from 1 species